CGCGUGAGGGAUGAAGGUUCUAUGGAUCGUAAACCUCUUUUAUAAGGGAAUAAAGUGCGGGACGUGUCCCGUUUUGUAUGUACCUUAUGAAUAAGGAUCGGCUAACUCCGUGCCAGCAGCCGCGGUAAUACGGAGGAUCCGAGCGUUAUCCGGAUUUAUUGGGUUUAAAGGGUGCGUAGGCGGCCUUUUAAGUCAGCGGUGAAAGUCUGUGGCUCAACCAUAGAAUUGCCGUUGAAACUGGGAGGCUUGAGUAUGUUUGAGGCAGGCGGAAUGCGUGGUGCAGCGGUGAAAUGCUUAGAUAUCACGCAGAACCCCGAUUGCGAAGGCAGCCUGCCAAGCCAUGACUGACGCUGAUGCACGAAAGCGUGGGGAUCAAACAGGAUUAGAUACCCUGGUAGUCCACGCAGUAAACGAUGA
rnacentral:rRNA from 1 species